rnacentral:rRNA from 1 species
UGAGGAAUAUUGGUCAAUGGAGGCAACUCUGAACCAGCCAUGCCGCGUGCAGGAUGACGAUCCUAUGGAUUGUAAACUGCUUUUGUACAGGAAGAAACCCAACUACGUGUAGUUGAUUGACGGUACUGUAAGAAUAAGGACCGGCUAACUCCGUGCCAGCAGCCGCGGUAAUACGGAGGGUCCAAGCGUUAUCCGGAAUUAUUGGGUUUAAAGGGUUCGUAGGCGGUUGAGUAAGUCAGUGGUGAAAUUUCUUAGCUUAACUAAGACACUGCCAUUGAUACUGCUUAACUUGAAUCAUAUGGAAGUAACUAGAAUAUGUAGUGUAGCGGUGAAAUGCUUAGAUAUUACAUGGAAUACCAAUUGCGAAGGCAGGUUACUACGUAUGUAUUGACGCUGAUGAACGAAAGCGUGGGGAGCGAACAGG